rnacentral:rRNA from 1 species
AACGAACGCUGGCGGCAGGCCUAACACAUGCAAGUCGAGCGAGGACUUCGGUCCUAGCGGCGGACGGGUGAGUAACGCGUGGGAACGUGCCCUUUGCUUCGGAAUAGCCCUGGGAAACUGGGAGUAAUACCGGAUGAGCCCUUUGGGGGAAAGAUUUAUCGGCAAAGGAUCGGCCCGCGUUGGAUUAGGUAGUUGGUGGGGUAAUGGCCUACCAAGCCGACGAUCCAUAGCUGGUUUGAGAGGAUGAUCAGCCACACUGGGACUGAGACACGGCCCAGACUCCUACGGGAGGCAGCAGUGGGGAAUCUUAGACAAUGGGGGAAACCCUGAUCUAGCCAUGCCGCGUGAGCGAUGAAGGCCUUAGGGUUGUAAAGCUCUUUCAGCUGGGAAGAUAAUGACGGUACCAGCAGAAGAAGCCCCGGCUAACUCCGUG